ACAAGGUCUCCGUUGGUGAACCAGCGGAGGGAUCAUUAAAGAGAGCCUAAAAAACUCCCGCAAAACCCCAUGUGAACAUACCAUACGUUGCCUCGGCAGGCCCCAGACGCGCCUGGCGCGCGCACCCCCAGGGGGGGCGCGGGCUGGGACCUGCCGGCGGCCCAAGCAAACCCUGUCGUCACUGAAUUCUGAGCCCGCACGUAGGAAAUUAAGUUAAAACUUUCAACAACGGAUCUCUUGGUUCUGGCAUCGAUGAAGAACGCAGCGAAAUGCGAUAAGUAAUGUGAAUUGCAGAAUUCAGUGAAUCAUCGAAUCUUUGAACGCACAUUGCGCCCGCCAGUAUUCUGGCGGGCAUGCCUGUUCGAGCGUCAUUUCAACCCCUUAAGCCCCUGUUGCUUAGCGUUGGGAGCCUACGGCCCGCCGUAGCUCCUCAAAGUUAGUGGCGGAGCCGGCCCGCACCCCAGGCGUAGUAGUUCAGUCAGCUCGCCCGCGGUCGGACCAGUCCCCUGCCGUAAAACACCCCAUUCUCGCAAGGUUGACCUCGGAUCAGGUAGGGAUACCCGCUGAACUUAAGCAUAUCAAUAAGCGGAGGAAAAGAAACCAACAGGGAUUGCCCUAGUAACGGCGAGUGAAGCGGCAACAGCUCAAAUUUGAAAUCUGGCCCUCGGGUCCGAGUUGUAAUUUGUAGAGGACGCCUUUGGCGCGGUGCCUUCCGAGUUCCCUGGAACGGGACGCCUUAGAGGGUGAGAGCCCCGUACGGUUGGACACCAAGCCUCUGUAAGGCCCCUUCGACGAGUCGAGUAGGUG
rnacentral:rRNA from 1 species